rnacentral:pre_miRNA from 1 species
AAAAAGGCAAACCCUAGGUUUGCGUGUCCAACUUUGACUGUCCGUCUUAUAUGAAAUUUUUUUAUAAUUCGUAUUUUUAUUGUUGUUAGAUGAUAAAACAUGAUUAAUACUUUGUGCGUGACUUGUCUUUUUAAUUUUUUUCAUAAUUUUUUCAAAUAAGACGGACGGUCAAACAUUGGGCACGGAAACCAGGGUUUGUCUUUUU